rnacentral:rRNA from 1 species
UACAGAGGGUGCAAGCGUUAAUCGGAAUUACUGGGCGUAAAGCGUGCGUAGACGGUUACAUAAGUCGGGUGUGAAAGCCCCGGGCUCAACCUGGGAAUUGCAUUCGAGACUGCGUAGCUAGGGUGCGGAAGAGGGAAGCGGAAUUUCCGGUGGAGCGGUGAAAUGCGUAGAUAUCGUUUGGAACGCCAAUGGUGAAAACAGGUUGCUGGGAGUGUGCUGACGCUGAGACACGAAAGCCAGGGGAGCGAACGGG